AUGGGGAAGCGGGGGUUGGGUGGGGAGAGCCCGCACUGGCGGAGAAGACGAACGAGGGCUGGCGGCCCCGGAGCUACCUCCCCUACCUCGCUGCCACGUCCAGUCCGACCCUCCCUCCUGCAAGCACGGCGACUUCCUCGACACUGUCUGGGCGGGCCACGAGCUAACCACGCCCAAUCUCUUCAGCAAUGUAGAUGUCGACCGUAG
rnacentral:rRNA from 1 species